rnacentral:rRNA from 1 species
CCUGCCCAGAAGCGGGGGAUAACACCUGGAAACAGAUGCUAAUACCGCAUAACAACUUGGACCGCAUGGUCCGAGUUUGAAAGAUGGCUUCGGCUAUCACUUUUGGAUGGUCCCGCGGCGUAUUAGCUAGAUGGUGAGGUAACGGCUCACCAUGGCAAUGAUACGUAGCCGACCUGAGAGGGUAAUCGGCCACAUUGGGACUGAGACACGGCCCAAACUCCUACGGGAGGCAGCAGUAGGGAAUCUUCCACAAUGGACGAAAGUCUGAUGGAGCAACGCCGCGUGAGUGAAGAAGGGUUUCGGCUCGUAAAACUCUGUUGUUAAAGAAGAACAUAUCUGAGAGUAACUGUUCAGGUAUUGACGGUAUUUAACCAGAAAGCCACGGCUAACUACGUGCCAGCAGCCGCGGUAAUACGUAGGUGGCAAGCGUUGUCCGGAUUUAUUGGGCGUAAAGCGAGCGCAGGCGGUUUUUUAAGUCUGAUGUGAAAGCCUUCGGCUCAACCGAAGAAGUGCAUCGGAAACUGGGGAACUUGAGUGCAGAAGAAGGACAGUGGAACUCCAUGUGUAGCGGUGAAAAUGCGUAGAUAUAUGGAAGAACACCAGUGGCGAAGGCGGCUGUCUGGUCUGUAACUGACGCUGAGGCUCGAAAGUAUGGGGUAGCAAAACAAGGAUUAGAUACCCUGGUAGU